AAAAAGGUAAGCUAAAUUAUAAUAAGCUAAUGGGCCCAUACCUCAUCAAUGAUUAUUUUCCCUUUUUG
rnacentral:tRNA from 1 species